rnacentral:lncRNA from 1 species
GCAGUUUAGUGAGACUUUAGAUAGUUUUGUUGUCAGAGAGCAGGUUCAGUUCCUUUGUAGCUCAGGAUAGCCUUGAACUUGUGACCAUUCUCUUGCUUCAGCAUCCCAAGCGCUGGGAUUAUAGGAGCACAGCACUACAUUAAGCAGUGGAGAGCGAAGGUGAGAGGGGAAAAGAAGAGGCGGGCCAGCUGUCUGCCUACUUUUCCUGUCCUCAGCACUGCCCUUACAGAGAGUCUGUGACACCCAUGAGUGAAUGUGCGCACCUACAGCGAGUCAAUGUGUCAGCGGGGCAGAGCACAGCACUGAGUGAUGGGUGGGGGUGGGCAGAUCCAUGCCCAAAGGCUGGCUUUACAUCCACAACACACCAGGAUCUGUUUCCAAGGCAGACCAAAGUGAGUGCUCUAAAAUGGGUAAAUGGCGAAGGGACUGGGUGAAGCACACCAUUCCAUGCUCCUGGUAUGUUUUUUUUUCCAUGACAGCAAGCAAAUAAAAACAGCUGGUUUUGCUUGGUGUUUCAUUCCCAUGGUGGUGGUAAGGCAAAGUACGCAUGGAGCUAUAGGCUGUGCAAUAUCAAUUGUCACCAUGAUCUUGCUACAGGAGGCAGGAGCUCUUAAAACUGCAUGCACAACUGGAGAGUGCAACCUGGGUGGCACCGUUCACAUUAGCACUAGGAGGCCGAAAGUCUCCCUAGGAAUCUGUGGUUUCGCAGCAAAUGAAAAAUGCCUCACAGCUGGAGCGAGGGAGACAAGAGGACAAAGAUGGAGGCAGAGCCACAGCUUUGAACCGGACACCUUCGAGGGUUCUCACUUUGCAUGACUAGGUCCUGUAGAUUAUGGAGCCAUGGGAAACAUCUCUCCUAUGGUUGUACUUUCUGCCCCUAGCAAGGCUCUGCCGACCUGAGUGUGUGAGUAGGCGACAACUCAAGAGUUCCAAGUCAACUUUUCACCUGGUGAGGAAGAGAAGGAAGCAAGACAGGGAUACAGAGUUGCCCAGGAGCCACACCAAGCUUGGGGACCCGGUGCAUGUCCCUCUCUGCCCAGCUGCCUGGUUCUGUGAGCCACAGCCAUCUUCUAAGAGAUCUGCAGUCAGUCAUGUGACCUUUCUCUGGUUCCACCACAGGACUUUCACUCCUCAUACCUCCCUGGGUACAGAAAAGGCAGGUGUGAGCUGCUUCCCCGUGACUGUCAUUGUUCACAAAAAACCACACACGACUGAGCUCUUGCAUUGGUGUAUGACGUGGGCACAGUGGAGGUGAUCAAUGAGUGACCAUCAGUGGACCAUCUGCAAAAGGUAGCUGAAUGCCAUUCCUGGGGGCAUCUGGGGGCAUUUCAAGAGGACACCAUCUUGGAGCUGGCACUGGACAGUGGCUAGCCUUCAGGGAUGGAACAUCUGUCAUGACUUCCUAACUCUGCGCCCAGCAGUAGCUCUCUCAGCGGCCAUCUGGGGACAUCAGAACAAGCACACAUAGGACAGGGCUGGAAGCCAAGCCUGUCUGGAGCAGAAGCCACAGAUAAAUCUACCCUAACAGGAUGGGACAAAUGACCAUGGCUUUCAGUGGAGGGCUGGGUUCCGUGUGGAAGCCGAGAAAACUUACUUCAGUUAUAGAAGCUCAAAAAGGAGAAAACUCACUUCAGAUCCGGAAGCUUAAAAAUUGAAAGUUUUUCUUUGUGAGAGCUCAGGGAGGACAAGAUGUAGAACUCUCAGCCCCUCCACCACCAUGCCUGCCUGGACGAUGCCAUGUUCUGGCCUUGAUGACAAUGGACUGAACCUCAGAACCUGGCUCAGCGUAGAUGAACACCGGGCCACUACCCACUUCAUCUCUGAUGGACACUGAAGCCUGUUUAGUUGGUGGACAUAUUGUACAAGUGACAUUCAGGGUCACUUGUCAUAUCCUGGAACACAAAUACAGGUCCUCACUUCUUUCCUACAGUCUCGAUUGGAGUGAAGAGAAAGGGAAACUUCUGAGACGGUCAGAUGUCCUUCCAAAAAGCCGCGACCCUCUGGCAUCCUCCCUGAAGGACAGGACCCUGGCCCACACGCCUCUGAAAGACACCAUCGUUUUCUCGCUCCAGAUGUCUCUCACACACACUUAGUCCAUAUCUUAAUUUUAUCUGCUGAUCCCCAGUGGUGUUCCUUGCUUGUCUGAGGUUGUAUUACACUCCCUCCCCACUCCCCCCCCCCCAGUCCCCAAGGCUUCCUGCCUGUGAUUGUGUCUUACCCCAUGAUCUUCCCCUUGUCUUUAUUGUCACAUGUCAGCUUCAUCGUUUCCAUAUAUUGCUGUCCUUUCUCAGCUACAUCUGUUUGCAUGACUUCCAAUGACAUUUUUAUCAGAUAUGUCAUUUUUUUCCCCUCCAGUACCUGGAUUAGAGCUGUUGCUUGGAGCAGGAAUUCUUGUUUUUAACUUUUCUGCUCGUGGUUGCUUUCUGGCUUCACUUACAUCAGACCACAGUCACCUCAGAAUGGUUUAUUAAAUCUGUCAAUUCAAGGGCAUUUGAGAAAGCUGACCUUUAUCUUGUGUCAAAUAUCACAUGUUCUUGGGGCCCGGUCUGGAUUUUAUUCUUUUGCUGUGUCGGCUUCUCCUGUAUGGCAACCCUUUC